rnacentral:rRNA from 1 species
CGACCCCAGUCAGGCGGA